GCCUUCAUAGCUCAGUUGGUAGAGCGCACGCCUCUUAAAUAAGGCGUCCCGAUGACUUCGGGCUCUAUAUGCACAUUUCAACUUCAACCGCACGUAACAGUGUGAUUGACUGAAUGCUUGACAGUACACGGACAUCGUCCCGUAGUGUAAGCGUGUGGUCGCGGGUUCGAGCCCCGUUGAAGGUA
rnacentral:tRNA from 1 species